rnacentral:rRNA from 1 species
GACGAACGCUGGCGGCGUGCUUAACGCAUGCAAGUCGAACGGAAAGGCCCUGCUUUUGUGGGGUGCUCGAGUGGCGAACGGGUGAGUAACACGUGAGUAACCUGCCCUUGACUUUGGGAUAACUUCAGGAAACUGGGGCUAAUACCGGAUAGGAGCUCCUGCUGCAUGGUGGGGGUUGGAAAGUUUCGGCGGUUGGGGAUGGACUCGCGGCUUAUCAGCUUGUUGGUGGGGUAGUGGCUUACCAAGGCUUUGACGGGUAGCCGGCCUGAGAGGGUGACCGGCCACAUUGGGACUGAGAUACGGCCCAGACUCCUACGGGAGGCAGCAGUGGGGAAUAUUGCACAAUGGGCGGAAGCCUGAUGCAGCAACGCUGCGUGCGGGAUGACGGCCUUCGGGUUGUAAACCGCUUUCGCCUGUGACGAAGCGUGAGUGACGGUAAUGGGUAAAGAAGCACCGGCUAACUACGUG